UCAAACCUCUUCUACAUAUGCUUCAAGCACUGAGAAUAUUUCGCGUCUUCUUGAAGGUUGGAUGAGAUCAUCACCAAAGACUAACAGUGAUAACAGUCCUGUAAUUUUCAAAGAAAAAUGGAAUCAGAAUAACAGCUUUGAUAACAAUGAUAGUAUUGGUAGUACUUCAGCUGCUACAAAUUCUCUUCAAGGUGGUUAUAGACCGAAAGCUGAACAAGAAGGUGGUGAUUUGAUCUCUCAUGAAGAGUUUGAAUCGAUUUUAUCAUUUGAGAACAUGAACAAUGUUGCAUGGGACAAAUCUACUUGUGAUUCUACUUCAAAGGGUACAUGUCAAGACACUGGAAGUGAUGACAAGGUCAAUAUCACAGUGACCACUCCGGAGAGGAAGCAAAAAGCUGAUCAGAACAAUAACAAUAACAAUAACAAUCCUCCUUUAUCAUUUCUUGAAAAGUGGCUUCUGGAUGAGAGUUCAGCCGUAGGUCAAGUAGAAGAGAUGAAUCAGAUGAUGGAACUGUCUUCAAUUUUCUAAGAUUUUUCUUCUUCUUCUUCUUCUUCUUUGUUCCUCUCCCUACGUUCAUUUCAUUUUAAGCUUUAUUGGGAAAAAGGAAAACCAAAAAAGAACAAAAAAGAAAGGUUUGAGUUAUUUCUGAAAAAGGUUGGGAUCUAAUUAGUCUUAACAAAAUGUAAUUACCCUUGGUGUUUCUUUCUAACUCUCAAGGUAGCAUUUCUCUUUGUUUUUAUAUGAAUUAAUCUUUUAGUAUGAGUAAAAUUAAUUAAUCAGAAGAUUGAUAAUCUUUCUCUCAGCAAUCCAAUGUCUCCUAUUUCUCCAUGUGCAUGGAUGAAAAUUAACAAGCUGGUUUCAAAUUCAUCAUGAAAAAAUUUCAAUUGGAAAAUGGAAAUAUUGUCCCAAAAUGAUCAAUCUUUAUCUUCUUACCUUUUUUUUUUUUUGGGUUAUUCAAUUCAUUGAAAUGCAUAGGAAAUGGAUAUAUAGCUAGGCUUAGAUGGGUAUCCAAAUUUAUAGGACAUGCAUUUUGGACAAUUAAUUAUCUAUUCUUUGAUAUUAACACCACAAACCUUUACGCUAAGCAUUUCUUUGUACUUUGUAGUAAAUAAAUGGCAUAGUCUCCAUAAUUGAAAGAAAAACUAGAAACCUAGAAAAGCGACUACAGGCUUAAAUACAUUCCUACUUUUGCUGCAAGUUAUAGUGGAUUUUAUAGCAGC
rnacentral:lncRNA from 1 species